GGUUAAGCGACUAAGCGUACACGGUGGAUGCCCUGGCAGUCAGAGGCGAUGAAGGACGUGCUAAUCUGCGAUAAGCGCCGGUAAGGUGAUAUGAACCGUUAUAACCGGCGAUUUCCGAAUGGGGAAACCCAGUGUGAUUCGUCACACUAUCAUUAACUGAAUCCAUAGGUUAAUGAGGCGAACCGGGGGAACUGAAACAUCUAAGUACCCCGAGGAAAAGAAAUCAACCGAGAUUCCCCCAGUAGCGGCGAGCGAACGGGGAGGAGCCCAGAGCCUGAAUCAGCAUGUGUGUUAGUGGAAGCGUCUGGAAAGGCGCGCGAUACAGGGUGACAGCCCCGUACACAAAAGCGCAUGUGCUGUGAGCUCGAUGAGUAGGGCGGGACACGUGGUAUCCUGUCUGAAUAUGGGGGGACCAUCCUCCAAGGCUAAAUACUCCUGACUGACCGAUAGUGAACCAGUACCGUGAGGGAAAGGCGAAAAGAACCCCGGCGAGGGGAGUGAAAAAGAACCUGAAACCGUGUACGUACAAGCAGUGGGAGCACCCUUCGGGGUGUGACUGCGUA
rnacentral:rRNA from 1 species